rnacentral:rRNA from 11 species
CGCGGUGGAUUUCUUGGGCUCUGGUAGCGAUGAUGAGGAAAAAUACAAGAAGAUGAGU